rnacentral:lncRNA from 1 species
CUGGUUUGAUUAAAAAACAAUGGUUUGAUAAAUUUUCUAAAGAUAUAAUAUAAAUGCACAACGAUAAAUAAAACUGGAGUCAUAUAGAUUCUACCACUGCAUCGAGUGUGAUACGAUAUUUAUCCACUCGAGACAGUUAAAUUCUUCUUUAGCUUUGGGUACAAAACCAUGUUCUAAUUUGAAUAGAACAUGGGCUGCACAUGAUUGACGUCACAAUUAAAAUUGCAACGUCAGAUGAAUUUUGAACAACGCCAGAGAUCAAAAUGGACAUUUUUGUUAAAGUUGCUCGCUAGGAAAUUAAAUAAAAACAUUCUAAAAGUAAGUUUAAAUGUUUCUGUUCUUUUUUUUAUUGAUAAACUGUUGAUUUUUCUAUAAAGUUUUUGUUCAUCAAAUCAAAUCAAAAUGGCGGCAUUUCGAGCGUCUACUAUAGGUCCGCUUCGAACAAAAGUUCAAAAUAUUCCUAUUAGAAUCGAAAUAAUUCUAUCAUGCCAUGCUCUAUGCUCAUUUUAACAUGGGUAGGCAUUAUAUUUGUUAAUAUCUUAAUACCGAGCGUUAGCGAGGUAUUAAAUGUUUACAAAUAUAAUGCAUAUAUAUGAGCAUAGAACAUGAC